UUUUCUAUUGAUUCUGUAUUUCGAGGUUAGAUUUAUCCAUUUUUUCAAAUAAACUUUGUUUAUUUUCUUUCCUCCUAUUCACUACUAACUUCAUGUUAUUUCUAAUUUAUAAUUAUUUUCUGUGGAUACUAUAAUUCUUGUUUCUAUUUUUCAGUUGUGCAGAUGAUACCAGGCGAUUGUUUCUAUGAUGAUUGUAACAUGAGGCGGAUGGCUUGAUUAGGUGCUGUCCUCGGUGGCUCGGAGAUACGUGCGGUCGGCGGUCCGGGCUGCUCUUCCACUCGGCGGGCAACGUCCUUGGACUCCUGGUGGUCUGCGCGCGGUGGUACGGGCUGUCCCUCUACCUGAUGGAUGUCGUCCUCGGCCUGGCGGGUGAUGUCGGCUGGUCCCUCUCGGCGUUCUGCGGGGUGCGGCGCGACUUCAGUCCUGACAUUCUCGGAUGAUGCUCCAAUCCAGCAUGGGAAGGGUGGGUAUGUAGCCUUCGGUCGGCGGCAGAAACUCUGUGGUGUGAGGUGCAGGCGUCUGGACUUCUGGAACGGUGGUACAUGGGCGUUUCUCCCGCGUGACAUCUUUCGUCUCUGAAAUCACUGAUGUGGCCUCCAGGAUGCGGUGUGGUUCUUCCAUAAUUUAUUGGAUGAUACAAUGAUGCGAGUGCAGUGAAACGAUCGCAAAUAUGUGGGGUUAUGUGCAAGAUUACAAAUGAAUGACCACAAGUUGAAAUAGUGUAAAAAA